UACGUAGGGGGCAAGCGUUGUCCGGAUUCAUUGGGCGUAAAGAGCGUGUAGGCGGCCAGGUAGGUCGGUUGUGAAAACUGGAGGCUCAACCUUCAGAGGUCGACCGAAACCAUCUGGCUAGAGUCCGGGAGAGGAGAGUGGAAUUCCUGGUGUAGCGGUGAAAUGCGCAGAUAUCAGGAAGAACACCGUGGCGAAAGCGGCUCUCUGGAACGGUACUGACGCUGAGACGCGAAAGCGUGGGGAGCGAACAGG
rnacentral:rRNA from 1 species